rnacentral:rRNA from 1 species
CACCGUCGUAUGAUGCGAUGGGGGGACGGAUCGCGGAAGGUUGUCUGACUGUUGGAAUAGUCAGUUUCUGGUUCAUAGAAGGCGCUUAGGCAAAUCCGGGCGCGGAAUUCAAGGGAUCGGGACGAGGCACUUAGGUGCUGAAGCAAUCGGAAGUGGUUCCAAGAAAAGCCUCUAAGCUUCAGUCAUACGAGACCGUACCGCAAACCGACACAGGUGGGCGAGAUGAGUAUUCUAAGGCGCUUGAGAGAACUCGGGAGAAGGAAC